AAUGAACGCUGGCGGCGUGCCUAACACAUGCAAGUCGGAUGUGCCGCAAGGUGCAUGACAGACGGGUGAGUAACGCGUAGGGAAUCUACCUCUUUGUGGGGAAUAACGCUCCGAAAGGAGUGGUAAUACCGCAUGAGACCGAGUGCUGGGAUGCAUUCGGUGAAACCUGGGGACCGCAAGGCCUGGGGCAAGGAGAGGAUCCUGCGUCUGAUUAGCUAGUUGGCGGGUAAUGGCCCACCAAGGCGACGAUCAGUAGCCGGCCUGAGAGGGUGAUCGGCCACACUGGAACUGAGACACGGUCCAGACUCCUACGGGAGGCAGCAGUGGGGAAUUUUGCGCAAUGGACGAAAAGUCUGACGCAGCAAACGCCGCGUGGGUGAUGAAGGUCUUCGGACUGUAAAAACCCUGUCGUCAGGGACGAAGGUGGCGGAGUUAAUAAACUCUGUUACUUGACGGUACCUGGAGAGGAAGCCCGGCUAACUCUGUGCCAGCAGCCGCGGUAAU
rnacentral:rRNA from 1 species